rnacentral:rRNA from 1 species
UACGGAGGGGGCUAGCGUUAAUCGGAAUUACUGGGCGUAAAGCGUGCGCAGGCGGUGAUGUAAGACAGAGGUGAAAUCCCCGGGCUCAACCUGGGAACUGCUUUGUGACUGCAUCGCUAGAGUACGGUAGAGGGGGGUGGAAUUCCGCGUGUAGCAGUGAAAUGCGUAGAUAUGCGGAGGAACACCGAUGGCGAAGGCAAUCCCCUGGGCCUGUACUGACGCUCAUGCACGAAAGCGUGGGGAGCAAACAGG